CCUUUGGAACUAUGCAACAAGAUUGUAGGGCAACGGGUCAGGACGGGAACGUAGCAGCCCACCUUGCUCUCUUGUGUGCCAUAGUCUCCCGGAGGGGU
rnacentral:SRP_RNA from 1 species